rnacentral:lncRNA from 1 species
UAAAAAAAUACAACAAAAAUUAGCUGGGCGUGGUGGUGUGCCCCUGUAAUCCCAGCUACUGGGGAGUCUGAGGCAGGAGAAUGGUGUGAACCUGGGAGGCAGAGCAUCCUUAUUCACACCGGCCGGAAUUAUGAAUUAUAGCUCUGUUUAUAAUGAUUUUGGUUUUGCCGAUCUCCCUGUCCAGAAUGAGAAAGCGGGCACUCUUCAGGGUGAGCUAUGACUUUUUUGCUCUGCAUACAUCACCAGUACUUAGGACAGUGCCCAGUACAUAGUAGGUGCUUAAUAUUGCUUUUCUUUUAUUUUUUUAAAUUAUAUUUUAAGUUCUAGGGUACACGUGCACAAUGUGCAGUUUUGCUACAUAGGUAUACAUGUGCCAUGUUGGUUUGCUGCACUCAUCAGCUCAUCAUUUACAUUAGGUAUUUCUCCUAAUGCUAUCCCUCCCCCAGCCCCCCAGCCCCUGACAGGCCCCGGUGUGUGAUGUUCCCUGCCCUGUGUCCAUGUUACACCAGUUUUUCUUAAAGUCUUCUUAGAAAAAAAAAAAAAAGAUGGCAGUUAUCAUCCUCAUGGAGAGACAUCUUUCUUCUAGUUGUGUGUAGGGGGAGAAAGGGGCAUAGAAAAUAAACAAGAUAAGUAAAAUGUAUAUUGUGUUCCCAGGUGAAAGUGUAGCCACACAGGAAGUGGGUUAGGGACAGCCAAGGUAGGGAGCAGCUUACAAUUUUAAGUUAAGAGGUCCGAGAAAGACCUGAAAUGUAAGCUGACAGUAGACAGAGAUCUGAAGGAAGCGAAGGGGUAUGCCUUGCAGAUUUCCAGAGAAAAUCACCCAGGCAGAGAGAACAGUGAGUGCAAAGACCUAGCAGGGGUGGGGGGUGGGUCGGAGAAGGGGCGUGUGUGCCUGACGUCAGGGAAACCAUGGGGAGCUGCCACGUGACUUUCAAACACUUGAGGAUCAAGGGCGCCACAGUUUCCAAUUUAAUUAAGCUCACUCCAGCAGGUGAAUACUUCCCAUUAAAAUGUAUUACAUGCGAAUGCUAUUUCUGCGGCUCUUUGGGAUGUGAGCUUCACAUAAAAUUGCUCGGUCAUCGAGCAUCGUGGCCUCCAUCUGCACAGUCGCCACCUCCCACUAGCAAUUUCAUGCACAUGAUGAACUCUCCAGCAAAUUUAUAGGAUAUUAUUC